rnacentral:lncRNA from 1 species
UUUGCUUGCAGAAAUAGAACUGUAUUUCGAGGAAAUCAAUCAAUCUGCAGGAAACAAAAAUGGAAGUCGAGGUUUGGGAAGAGUUGUCACUUCCCCGACUCGAGUGGUGCGGGCCAGGGGCGGAGACUUGGGGCCGCGGAGAGGCCCUUUCUCCCACCUCAGCUCGUUCCCAGACUUCCAGAAGGGAGAAGUACCCUCCUCACCCCUCUUCUUCCCCACACCCGUCCUCGCUCGCCCGCCGGCCCCUUUCCGCACCUCCUUCUCCCCUCAAGUGAGAAAAGCCUAGUUCCCGAGCCGGUGUACGCGGUUGCUUUACCCCUCCCCGCUCCCACGCGGGUGCCCCCUCCAGCCAUCGCUACUGCCACCACCUCGGUUCCACUCAAUCGAUUUUUGCUGCAUGUCAACACUUAUUCCCGAAAAUGGCCCGCUGAUGAUGUGACCCAGUGUACCAGGACUAAGGCUUGGGGUGGUUUCCUUAGAAUUCCAAGACUCCUUCUACCAAUGCCUCCUCUGACCAGAAGCAGCAAAGUCUUUCUGCCUCCAUCAACAGUUUGCAGCGGCACCGGACCCCCUGCACGCAGUCCUGGGCUGGAUCCUUUAUCCUUGUCCCUCUGGGGAGAUGAGACCAAGAGCCGCUUCCACUGUCCCAGAGAAGACAGUGGAGCAGAUACGGACGGAAUGUGACUUGGAACCCCGGCGCAGGAGGGGGGAGAGCCGAUGGGGACGACCCUGCAGGCCGUCCUGAGCGCCACAGACGGGGAUUUACCUGCCGAGUCCAAGGCGACAGACAACAGAUCACUUUGUUAGAGAAUAAGAUAAUAUCAAACAAAAGAAAGUAAAAUAAAACCCUUCUUAUGAGGGCGCUGGGCCUCGGGCGAUGUUCAUUCCCAGGGUUCUACAGACCUCAAUGCCUCCACCCCCGCCUAAAAUCCGCGAAAUCGCAGGAGCCAGUCUUAUCUGCCGAGGCAGGGCCUUGUUUGUCAUUUCUCUGACAGGGGGGAAAAAAAUCCCUCCUGCAAAUUCUGGGCGCGCAGCUUCCCUCCCCAGCUGGUGACCCUCCUUCCCCCGUGCAGCUCCGCCGGCCUCUCAGCUGCCCUUCGUCAGGAGAUAGCAGCCUGGACAGCGAACCGGGACCUUCUGGACCCCCGGGUUUAGCCGGGCCACGCGACCCAGCCCUUAGAAGGACCUGAGGUGCCGCGGCUCCGCCUGACGUGCCCCCAAGGGCGGCCUCGCCUUGGGUCUCCCUGGCCGCCCGCACGGCACAGGCACGACCGUGUCCUACGCUGUCUACUGACCACAACAGCUGCUUUAUCUUAAUGUUCCUUCUUGGCCGGCGACGUGGGAGAAGCGCGGUGGCAAGACGUGCCGCCUCGCAUUACCCUGACGGUAUUUUCAGAGGCACCCGGAGAAGCGGCGGCCCAGGGGGCAACCUACGCACCUCCGGGGACUCCUCUCGGGUCCCGACGCUGGUGUUUGCACGUCCCUCCGGACAACAGCACUGAAAUCUAAUCCGCAGCUGCCGCCGAGCGCCCACCUCCCGCCUUCCCCGGCGCCCCCAGCCCGCGCGGCCCGGGACCUGCAUCCGAGCCCGGCGGCCGGGGCUGCACAGCCCGCCCUCCGCGUCC